UACAGAGGUCCCAAGCGUUGUUCGGAUUCAUUGGGCGUAAAGGGUGCGUAGGCGGCGCGGUAAGUCGGGUGUGAAAUCUCGGAGCUUAACUCCGAAACUGCAUUCGAUACUGCCGUGCUUGAGGACUGGAGGGGAGACUGGAAUUACGGUGUAGCGGUGAAAUGCGUAGAUAUCGUAAGGAAGACCAGUGGCGAAGGCGGGUCUCUGGACAGUUCCUGACGUGAGGCACGAAGGUCAGGGGAGCAAACGGG
rnacentral:rRNA from 1 species